rnacentral:rRNA from 1 species
AUGUCCACGCCGGCCAGUCUCCCGCCGCCGGCCCCCGCCGCCACGCCCCUCACCGACCUCCUCGAGUCACCCACCUUCGCGCCCCCCGCGCCAGCGCCCCCGCCUCCCACCCCCGCCGCCAUCCUCACCGCGUGGUCGCACCUCCGCAGCGCCGCUCCCUCCCCUGCGGUCACCCUCUCCGCCCUCGAGACCCUCCACCUGCACCGCCGCUCGCUCCGCCUCAGCUCCGCGCACCUCGAGCUGCUCCUGCCGCUUCUCCCGCUCCACCCGCGCCUCGUCUCCCCGCUGCUCGCCACCUGCCCGCGUCUCCUCCCCAACUAUUCGCUCCCCUUUGCCUCCCUCCCUCUCGCCCCUCGGCUCCUCCUCCUGGGCACGCUCGCCACCGCCAAGAGCUCCAAGAAUUCCACCAGCAAUGGCACCUCAGGGAGCCCCAGCACGGGGAAUCUCGGGAGCGACCAUGGUGGCGACGACCCCAUUGUGGCUGUGAGUCGCAUUCUAGAGAAUACGGAGCAGGGCAGUGAGACCAGCGAUGUUAUUGACCACCUUGCGCUUGCUGGUAUUGGCCAUGCCCUGGCAUGUGCAGAUGAGCUGCACUUUGGAAGGAUCCUUGUGUCCCUGGUUAGGAUUUGCGGCAGGAUCGGGGAUGUAGGUGUUGGUGUUAGGGUGCUUAAGCUGGUGGAUUGGCUGGUGUCGGGGUUCGUCGAGUCGAGGAGGAUGCGCAAGGUUCAGGUUCUGUUCGAGGUAAUUUCGCCGGAGAAGUGCGAGAGCGAGGGUUAUGUGCUGUUUCCGGCGGUGAUGGCGGCUUGCGGUGGACUACGGGCAUUGAGGGUUGCUUCGGUGAGACAUCGCUUGGACUUUGCCCCAAAAUUGAAGGACGCUCCUGAGUGGACCAUUCGUUUUGCAGCUAAGAGGGCAACUGUAGAAGGGAGGCAUGACGAUGAUCAGCGACGUGUCCUUCUUCAGUGUGUUGCAUUAGGUUUGACACAGUGUGGGCCGGUAGCGUCUAAUGAUUCAGUGUUACAGUGUGUUCUUAUGGCACUGCUGGAGGAGCUCCUUCCUCUUCCAUGUCUGCUUAGGAUCUCAGUUAAGAGUCCAGAUGGAAAUUCAGCUGAGCUUGCCAAGAAUCAGGUCAAGCAACACCAGGAUAGUGUCCUUUUCAAAGAAGCAGGGCCAGUGACUGGGGUUCUGUGCAAUCAGUAUUCAUUUGCUGAUGAGAAGACUAAAGAUUAUGUUGAAACUCGUGUAUGUGAAUAUGCGCAAGAGCUGUAUCAUCAUCUUCGUGCAGCAGUGUUGCUGCACCAGACGAAACGGAAUGAUUUGCUUGCUGAGAUUGAUAAGAUUGCUGAGGCAGCAUUUUUUAUGAUUGUAAGCUUUGCAGCAGAGGUUGCAAAACACAGGUUGGAUGCAAACUCCUCAGGGGGGUUACAGCCAGAGGUUGCUGUUAGGAUCUUGGUGGAAUUCUCUUGUGUGGAACAUCUGAGACGUUUGCGUCUUCCUGAGUACACUGAAGCAAUCCGGCGUGCUGUUGUUGUUAAUCAGGAUAAUGCGGCAGCCAGUGCUUUAUUCGUUGAGUCAAUGCCUUCAUGUGCUGAAUUGACAACCAAACCAGAUUUACUAACCUUGGAUGGAACAAGAUAUAUCUGUUACGCGGAUGAGGUUCAGACGUCACGCAUAUUGUUUUAUCUGCGGGUUAUGCCUACUUGUAUUAGCCUUAUUCCAGCUGAUCUAAUUCGGGAUAAAUUAGCUCCGGUCGUAUUCCUAUACAUACAACAUUCGAAUGAAAAAAUAACACGUGCUGUACACUCGGUGAUGGUAUCAUUCCUGUCAUCUGGCAAUGAUACUGAUCAGGAUGAUCGAGUGGCUUUGAAAGAGCAAGUCGCCUUUGAUUAUAUUAGGAGAUCCUUGGAGGCUUAUCCUGGGGUAACUCCAUUUGAUGGAUUAGCAUCAGGAGUUGUUGCACUUGUUCGGCACCUUCCUGCAAAGAGCCCUGCCAUUCUGUUUUGUAUCCAUAGCCUUGCUGUGAAGGCUAAAGAUCUUUGCAGUACUGCAAUGGUUCAGGACAGAUCAUUAUGGAGGUCAUGGGAAGAAAGCACAGAGCCCUGCAAGAAAGUAUUGGACUUGUUGCUACGGCUCAUCUUCCUUGUUGAUAUUCAGUCAUUCUCUUAUCUGCUCAAGGAGCUGGCGGAAUUUGUCACCUCGCUGCCAAAGGAAGGCCAGGAUGUGCUCCUCGAUGACAUGCACGCCCAUGUCGCGGAAUCUGACGAUGUUGUACGGAAGCCUGUGCUCGUGUCGUGGUUGCAGUCCCUAUCAUACAUAAGCUCACAAGCUGAUGUUCGUGAAUCUCGUAAUAACGCGAAAAAUGCUCGUUCUGCGGGUGGGGUUGAGCUGAGCCUGAACAGAACUAUUGCACGCUUGUGA